UACGUAGGGUGCAAGCGUUAAUCGGAAUUACUGGGCGUAAACGUGCGCAGGCGGUUGUGCAAGACAGAUGUGAAAUCCCCGGGCUCAACCUGGGAAUUGCAUUUGUGACUGCACGGCUAGAGUGUGUCAGAGGGGGGUAGAAUUCCACGUGUAGCAGUGAAAUGCGUAGAGAUGUGGAGGAAUACCGAUGGCGAAGGCAGCCCCCCUGGGAUAACACUGACGCUCAUGCACGAAAGCGUGGGGGAGCAAACAGG
rnacentral:rRNA from 1 species